UAUAUAUAUACAACACAUACACACAAUUCUUUCAUCUUUUCUAUCUCUGUUUGGUUGGGCACUUCUCAAAUUCCGCCAUUUGACGUGUUAUAAUUUAUUCGGUCGGUAUGAAAGAUUGUUCUUCUCAAAUUCCAAAAACCCCUCAUUUCGUUCUGUAAAUUCUGCUAAAUUCAUAUGUAUACUCGGCAACUGGGACGUUGGCUUGAUAUUAGUAAUAAUAACGAUAACAACGACAUAAUUCAGAGCACCUUGGCCAUCUGGGUUUUUCUGUGGGUUUUACAGAUUUCUGGAGAAUUUGCUGACGGUUAAGCUGCAUUGUGGAAGAUUGAAAGAAUAAAAAGGCGAUUUCUGGUGUCUCUAUGAGAUUAUUGGUAAGGAGGGGGAUGCGGAGAAGUGGAGAGUCGGCUAUUGCGCAAGAGAAGGGUUAUAAUAACAACAAAUUCAUAGGCCGCGGCAUUGGCAUCAAUGCGCCUAAAGUGAGGACCAGGGAUAAAAGAUUUUUGUCUUUUAUCUGAUCAAGAAGAAGAUCUAGGGUUUGGGGUUUGUGCUGUUACUGCGGUGGCUGAAUUGCUGUGGCUGGUUCGGUUAUUUUUAGAUUCCCAUUACAACUUUGUGAAGCUUGGCAUAACCUUAUUUGUCUUGAUUAUUUCUAGAUUGCUACCUCGCUGUGCUGAGUUGGGUGGGGGUAGCCUGACAGAGCUCCGGGUUUUAAAUUUACGCCACGCAUUUUUAAAUAGCCUCUUAUUUGGGGGAAGAUGACUCGAAUUCUGGUGCAACGGGGCGGCGGCGGUUCUUCUUUAUCCAAUUCUUCUCAGAGCCGCUCGUCCUCUGCAGCAGCUUCUUCUUCAUCUUCCGCGACGUCACUGCCUGUGCCCCCUGCGGAACUUUCAAAUUUUCAGCCCUUGUUCGUCCCUGAAGAUGAGCAUCAUAAUUUCGAGGGCCUCGGUGAUGGUUUAAGUUAUCAAGAUUGCACUGAAAUCCCCUAUACGUUGGAAGUCGACGAGGCUGCUAAAGAGCUUGCAGCUUGUGAAAUCGGCUCUGCCGAAGAGAAUUAUGAUGGGUCUCAUGUUGGGGUUGAUUUGUAUGGAAAUGCUAGCAGUAUUGGGGUCUCUGGUUUGGAAUUGGGGGAAAUUGAUGUUGGGGAGAAGACCAUUGUAGAAGAAGAUAAUAGAGAGGUCCAAUGUGAGAAGUCCAGCGGUGUUCAGGUUGUGAGUAGUUGUUCUUGCCCUCCUCCUCCACCAGUUCCUCCCCCAAAACCUGGGAUUAUUGGAUUGGGCUCUAGACGGAUUGUAUCAAGCGGGUCGGCUGUACAGAGAAGUGGGUCUUCUAGAAGACAACAGUUUUCAUGGAAUGCUAUGGCAUCCCGGACUUCGCCAACAGGUUCACGACCAUCCUCACCGAGGUCAUAUGGAGAUGGAGAAGGAUAUAAUAGUGCAGACGAACAGAGUACAUGUUUUGGGUCCUAUGAUGAUGCUGAAAGAGAACGGCAGUUUGAGAGUGAUAUUCGGCAUGCACGAGGUUUUGAAGUUAGACGCAUGGCUGCAGAUGGCAAUUGCCUUUUCCGUGCUGUUGCAGACCAGGUUUAUGGUGAUGCAGAGUUAUACGAUCAUCCAAGACAGAUGUGCAUUGACUAUAUGGAGAAAGAGAGAGAUCAUUUUUCUCCAUUUGUCACGGAAGGCUUCACAGCUUAUUGCAAAAGGAAAAGAAGAGACAAGGUCUAUGGAAACAAUAUGGAAAUCCAGGCAAUGUCAGAAAUGUACAAUCGCCCUAUUCAUAUUUAUAUAUACAGUAUAGAGCCUAUCAAUAUAUUUCAUGGGUCUUACAAUACAGAUUCACCUCCUAUUCGCCUUAGUUAUCACCGUGGUAAUCACUACAAUUCUCUUGUUGAUCCACAUCGAUUAGCAAUUGGUGCAGGCCUUGGGUUUAGCAGCCUUCAAGGGGCAAAUAUAGAUAAGGAUCAGGUGAAGGCUGCUUUAAAAGCGCAACAGGACCAACAAAUCGAGAAUGCUCUUUUAGCUGAGGGUCGCUUCUACUCUGAUUUGGAGCUAACAGAGAAGGAAAUUGAACGCACGGUUAUGGAGGCUUCACGGGCUGAAUAUCUUCGCACCCUCCAACAACAUGGUGGUAAAGAGUCCUCCACUUCUGGAGCUGAACCAUCAUCUUCUAGUGCAAGAACAUCCACAAAUGACCAUAGGGUUCAUCUUGGAGAUUUUCAAAUAGUUCCAGACCGUGUAGUCACAAGUAGUGUGCAGACUGUUCUAUCUAUGGGUUUCAGUUAUGCAAAAGUGAUGGAAGCAUAUAACAUUUUUCGUGAUGAUAUUGAUUCUAUGGUCUUUUAUCUUAUAGAGACCACGUCAGGCAAUCCUAGGAUGAAAGGAAAAGCUGCAGAGUAAAGUUAGUGCAUGGCCUUAUGAUGCCAGAGCUUAAAUCUGGGCAUUAGAAUUCUUUCAAGUGCACGUUUCGAAGAUGAUUUUCAUGGAAAUGCCCAUUGCUUAAAUGGUUCACUGUUAUUAUUUUGCCCAAAUUCUGUCUUGCACCAUAUAACAUUGGCCUGAAUACCUUUAGCAUGCCUGUCAGUCAAAACAUAUGGUUCAGCCACAUUAAUGUGUUGAGGAGGCAUUGUAAGAACAGCAAGUUCUGGUUAGUUACAGUGUUUUUGACCCUCUGUAUUCUAGGCAGCUUUCUGCUUCACUAAUUGGCAUUGCUACGAAGGACAGGCAAAAGACUCACAGACACUGCUUCUAACUCAAAAUCUCUUUUGUCAUCUAAUCAGGCAAAUUGAUUCCUCAACAAAUGAGGCUUUAAAUGUUCUUCUUUCAUAUUUAUAACUACUCAGAUGUAAAAAAGUGCACUUCAGACUGAAUGUAAUAUUUUUAAGGUGGUUUUUUGGUUUGCAAAUUGAAUGUACAUCCUCAAAUUCAAUACACAAUUUAAGAGAUUUUCAAUC